rnacentral:lncRNA from 1 species
AGGUGCCCCGGACAGGUGUGGCCAGCACGUCUUGCCAAGACCCCACCACCCCACCCACCCGCAUCUGUGGCCUCCUGGAAGAACUGAGCUGUGGCCUGGGGUUCCGUGGAGCAGAAAAUUAGCCGGGCAUGGUGGCGGGCGCCUGUAGUCCCAGCUACUUGGGAGGCUGAGGCAGAAUGGUGUGAACCCGGGAGGCGGAGCCCGCAGUGAGCCGAGAUUGC